GCCGUCUCACCUGCCCCCACCCACGGCGCCGUCGGAUCCCAGAGCGGCUGGUGCAAGCUUAAAGUGUUGCUGCCAGACCUUUCUUCUCUUCUAAUUUACCAAGUGAAGAAUGUUGAAAUAUCCAACUAUAAUUUGUGGAUUUCUCCUUUCAAUGCUAUCAUUUUUGGUGCUUCAUGUAUUUUUGAAGCUCUAUUAUUAGCGGAGACCUGAAAGCAGCUUAGCCAUGAGCAGCGCUCAAAUAAGGAAAGAAAUUCUUUGCAAUAAAUAGGGAUCUUUGAAAGGUUUUACGUUGGACCCGCCUUACCGUGGACAGACACUAGAGGGUGCUCCUCGCUCAGAAAGCCGAGUGUUUCCAGGCCCGGGACCUCUGCCAGGAAGCGCUUCGACUGCCGGUUCUGAAACUCUCUCUUUGGGUCUGGUAAUUUACUGGGGAGAACUGGCUGCUGCCUUGGUUCUGAAACUAAAGGCUUUUUACGGAAGUAGGAGGAGACUGCAAGAGGCUAUAUGGAGCAGAAAUGUGGCUCCUUCAAACUUUCACCAAUUGGCGUUCUGCCGGACUGUGACUUGGAGGAUUCCAGCAGUGUCUCAUUCACCCAUGAGCCCCAGGGUCUAGCACACAUAGUGUCUGGCAGACAGUGAGCGCUUUGUAAAUAUUUAUGGAAUGGGACCAACCGAUGGAGGCGUCUGAGACCUAAAUAAUUAUAAUUACAAAUUGGCAAGUGCUGGCACGAUGACCACAGACCAUUAAGGGCGCUCCCAGAAGAGUGGGGGCUGGGGAGGAUUGGCCAGAAUGGCUUCCUGAAAUUCAGGAGCCCUGGCACUCUCUGGGGUACACAGAAAAGAUCUUCCACAUCCGGCUUUUGGAUAUUUAAAAACAGCUUCAUGCUCCAUUUUUUUCAUGUCCUUCCUGUGGAAUGAUUUCUAGGCUUUUCACUAAGUUGAUCGCUCCCUGCAGACUUGUAGGAAGGCAAAUAAUAGGUUAGCACCUACUGGGUUCAAGCAUCUCCUAUGAUCUCCAUUAUCUGAUUUAAUUGUGUCUUUAUCUCAUUUAAUCCCCACAACAACUCUCUGAGACUAAGGCUAUUAUCCACAUUCUACAGAUUAGAACUUGGUAAGGUUUGAUAACUGGCCCAAGAUCACACCAUUAGGGAGUGACAGGACCAGUAUUUGAACCCAGAUAGUCUAGCAGCAAAAGAUGCUUUUAAAAAUUUUCACUUAAAAGAAUAACAACAACAGCAACUAACAGUAUGGAGGGGGCCAGAUAGUUUUCUGUGUUUUACAUUUAUUAACUCAUUUAAGUCAUUUAAUUGCUAUACACCUAGAUGUCAUCCUUUCUAUUAAUACAUUGUUAGUACUGAAAAGUGAAGAGAAUGAUACAACAAACACCCAUGUACUCAUCACCUGGCAUGAAAAAAAGGUUAAUGUUAAAGUUGAUAUUAUCCAGCCACAACAAUCUUGAAAAAGAACAAAGUUGGAGAACUUGGCCCAGUGCGGUGGCUCAUGCUUGUAAUCCCAGCAUUUUGGGAGGCCAAGGCGUGUGGAUUGCUUGAGCCCAAGAGUUCAAUACCAGCCUGGGCAACAUGGUAAAAAUACAAAAAAUUUCUACAAAAAAAAAAGUUUCUACGAAAAAAAUACAAAAAUUAGCCUGGUGUGGUGGUGCUCGCCUGUGGUCCCAGCUACUCAGGAGGCUGAGGUGGGAGGAUCACCUGAGCCCAGGGAGGUUGAGGCUGCAGUGAGCCAAGAUAGCACCACUGCACUCCAGCCUAGGCAAAAGAGCAAGACCUUGUCUCAAAAAAAAAAAAAAAAAAAAGUUGGAGAACUUACACUUUCCAAGUUCAAAAGCUACAGUAAUGAAAACAAUGUGGUACUGGCAUAAGGAUCAACAUGUACAUCAAUGGAAUAGAAUUGAGAGUCCAGAAAUAAACCUGUAUGUUUACGGUCAAGGUAUCAAGACAAUUAAAUAAGGAAAUAAGUUUUUUUCCCCACAAAUAGUGCUGGGACAUCUGGAUAGCCACAUGCAAAAGAAUGAAUUUGGACUCCUAUCUUUUAUUGUCUACAAAAAUUAACUCAAAACGAAUCAAAGACCUAAAGAUAAGAACUAAAACUAUAAAACUCUUAGAAAAAACAUAGGUGUAAACCUCUAUGACCUUGGAUUAAGCAAUGGUUUCUUACAUACAACACCAAAAGCACAAUCAACUGAAGAAAAAAUAAAUCAAUUAGACUUCAUCAAAAUUAAAAAUUUGAGUGUCAAGGCCCUAUCAAAGUUAAAAGAUAAAUCACGGAAUGGGAGAAAAUUUUUGCAAAUCAUAGAUCUGGAAAGGAUCUUGUAUCCAGAAGAUAGAAGAGCUGUUUUUCUGUUGUUGUUGAGACAGAGUCUUGCUCUGUCAUCCAGCCUAAAGUGCAGUGGCAUCAUCAUAGCUCACUGCAGCUUCCACCUCGUGGGCUCAAGCAAUCCUGUCACCUCAGUCUCCCGAGUAGCUGGGACUGUAGGUGUGCACCACCAUGCCUGGAUAACUAAAAAAAAUUUUUUUUAUAGACGAGCUCUCACUAUGUUGCCCAGGAUGGUCUUGAACUCUUGGCCUCAAGCGAUACUCCCACCUCUGCCAUCCAAAGUGUUGGGAUUAGAGUGAGCCACCUCAUCCAGCCUAUAAGAACUCUUGUAAUUUAAUAAUAAAAAGACAAAUAACCCAAUUUAAAUUUGGGCAAAUGACUGGAAUAAGCAUUUCUCCAAAGAAGAUAUACAAAUGCCAAGAAGCACAUGAAAAGAUAGUCAGCAUCAGCCAGGCAUGGUGGCUCAUGCCUAUAAUCCUAGCACUUUGGGAGGCCAAGGCAGGUGGAUCACCUGAGGUCAAGAGUUUGAGACCAGCCUGGCCAACAUGGUGGCACCUCGCCUCCACUAAAAAUACAAAAAUUAGCCAGGUGUGGUGGCAGAUGUCUGUAAUCCCAGCUACUCAGGAGGCUGAGGCAAGAGAACUGCUUGAACCUGGAUGGUGGAGGUUGCAAUGAGCCAAGAUCGCACCACUACACUCCAGCCUGGGCAACAAGAGCAAAACUCCAUAUCAAAAAAAAAAAAAAAAAAAAGAUACUCAGUAUCAUUAACCAUUAGGGAAAUGCAAAUCAAAACUUUCAAACCCACUAGCAUGGCUAUAGUUUAAAAGACAAUAACUAGUAUUAGCAAGGAUGUAGACAAAUUGGAACCCUCAUAAAUCACUAGUGGGAAUAUAAAUAGGUGCAGCCUCUGUGGAAAAUGGUUUGGGAGGUCUUCAAAAAGUUCAAUAUAGAGUUACCGUAAGACCUAGAAAUUCCACUGCUAGCUAUAUACCCAAAAUAAUUGAGAACAUUAUAUAUACUUGUACAUGAGACCAGGAGCAGUGACUCACACCUAUAAACCCAGUACUUGGGGAGGCCAAGGCAGGAGGAUCCCUUGAGCCCAGGAAUUUGAGACCAGCCUGAGCAACAUAAUGAGAUCCUAUCUCUACAAAAUAUAAAAAAUCAGCUGGAUGUGGUGGUGUAUGCCUAUAAUUCCAGCUACUGGGGAGGCUGAGGUGGGAGGAUCGCUUGAGCAGAGGAGUUGGAGGCUGCAGUGAGCUAUGAUCAUACCAUUGCACUCCAGCCUGGGUAACACAGCAAGACUCUGUCUCAAAAAAAAAAAAAAAAAAGGUGUAGCUGGAUGCAGUAGCUCACGCCUGUAAUCCCAGCACUUUGGGAGGCCAAGGCGGGCAGAUCACGUGAGGUCAGGAGUUUGAGACCAGCCUGGCCAACAUGGUGAAACCCUAUCUCUACUAAAAAUACAAAAAUUAGCUGGAAGUGGUGGCGCACACCUGUAAUCCCAGCUACUCAGGAAGCCAGGAUGGGAGAAUCGCUUGAACCCAGGAGGUGGAGGUUGCAGUGAGCCGAAAUUGUACCACUGCACUCCAGCCUGGCCAAUAAAAUGAGAUUCUGUCUCAAAAAAAAAAAAAAAAAGAUACAUAUACAUAUACAUGAAUGCUCAUAGCAGCAUUAUUUAUAAUGACCAAAAGGUGGAAAUGUAUCAGUCCAUUCUCACACUGCUGUAAAGAAUUGCCUAAGACUGGGUAAUUUAUAAAGGAAAGGGUUUUAAUUGACUCACAGUUCCGCAUUGCUGGGGAGACCUCUGGAAACUUACAAUCAUGGCAGGAAGCAAAGGAGAAACAGGCACCUUCUUCACAGGGUGGCAGGACGGGAGUGAGUGCAAGCAGGGGAAAUGCCAGAUGCUUAUAAAACCAUCAGAUCUCCUGAGACUCACUCAUUAUCAUGAGAACAGCAUGGGGGAAACCACCCCCAUGAUCCAAUUACCUCUACCUGGUCCCGCCCUUGACAUGUGGGAUUAAUACAAUUCAAGGUGAGGUUUGGGUGGGGACACAGAGCCAAACCAUAUCAGGGAACAACCCAGGUGUUUAUCAGUCGACGAGUGGAUAAACAAAAUGUGGUCUGUUCAUGCAGUGGAAUAUUAUUCUACCAUAAAAAGGAAUGAAGUACUGAUACAAGCUACAGCAUGGAUGAACCUUGUAAACACUAUGCUAAGUGAAAGAAGCCAGUCACAAAAGGCCAUAUAUUAUAUGAUUCCAUUUAUAUUAAAUGUUCAGAUAGGCACAUUCAUUGAGAUCUGUGGUUGUCAGGGGCUAGAAGUAGGGAGUAAUGAGAAAUGACUGCACACAGGCACAGGUUCUGGAAUUGGAUAGUAGUGAUUGUUGAACCGCCUUGUGAAUCUGCUAAAAAACACUGAGUCAUACAUUUGUAAAUGGUGAAUUUUAUAGUAUAUGAAUUAUAGCUCAAUAAAAAAAGAGAGAGAAAAAAGUUGAUAUUUUCUUCAUAGAUAGCUCCAUGGUUCUCAAACAUUUUGGUCUCAAAACCCCUUUAGACUCUUAACAAUUACUGAGGGCCCCAAAAAGCUCUUGUUUAUGUAUUUUGUUUUUGUGUGCUUAUGUUCAAUAUCCAUUGACAUUUACCAUGUUAGAAAGUAAAACAGAAAUUUGUAAAAAUAUGCAUUAUUUCCUUUAAAAUAGCAUUAAUAAACCAUAUGCUGUACAUGUUAUCAUAAAUAACAGUUGAAAAAUAAUUGUAUUUUCCAAAACAAAAGAAUUAGUGAGAAGAGUGACAUUGUUUUGCAUUUUUGCUGUCAAAUGUCUGGCUGAGUAGAAGAUAGCUGCAUUCUCUUACCUGCUUCUACUUACAUUCAAUGUGUUGAGAUAUGUUGUUUUGGUUGAAAUAUAUGAAAAAAGUCUGUCUUCACACAGAUACGUGGUUGAAAAAAGGAAGACUAUCUUAAUAGCCUUUUCAAAUAAUUGUGGAUAUUUUUCUUAGAUUACAUACCAAAACUGGACAAGUAUAGUUUCUUAAAGGUUAAUUGCAAUGUGGAACCUGAAACCAUAAACUUUUCAAUUGGUCUAUCAUGAUCAUGUACUUUUUUUUUUUUUUUUUCAGACAGAGUCUUACUUUGUCGCCCAGGCUGGAGUUCAGUGGCACAAUCAGGGCUUACUGCAGCCUCAACCUUCCAGGCUCGAGUGAUCCUCCCUGCUCAGCCCCUGGUGGGACUACAGGGAUGCGCCACCAUGCCCAGCUAAUUUUUUUUUAGUAGAGAUGGGUUUUUGCCUGCCUGCCUGCUUUCCUUCCUUCCUUCCUUCCUUCCUUCCUCCCUUCCUUCCUUCCUUCCUUCCUUCUUCAGGGUCUUCCUCUGUCACUCAAACUGGAGUGCAGUGGUAUUAUCUCAGCUUACUGCAACCUCCACCUCCCGGGUUCAAGCAAUUCUCAUGCCUCAGCCUCCCAAGUAGCUGGGAUCACAGGUAUGUGUCAUGAUACCUGGCUAAUUUUUGUGUUUUUUCUAAAGAUGGGGUUUCGCAAUGUUGACCAGGCUGAUCUUGAACUCCUGGCCUCAGGUGAUCCACCCACUUCGGCCUCCCAAACUGUUGGGAUUACAGGCGUGAGCCAUCAAGCCUGACCUCAAGUUCCCUCUUUCUAAUCUGGAAUUGAGAAUAGCACUAGCAUCCAGGCCCACCUCAAAGGGUCAGACUGAAGUUCAGAUGGCCCAAGGAUGCACUAGAAAGUUCUUUAUGCAAUGUAAAUGAGAGUUGCCUACUCUUGUCAGGCUCAAGUACCUUCACUCUACAGGCAACUGGCUACAGGCUUCUCACCCUGAGCGGUGGUCAGCUCAGCCAACUCACCCUCUCCACCCUCCUCCCUCCCUCCUUUUUCACAGGAAACUUAAGAGUCAGAUCUCUUCCACUGCAAAUGGAGAUUCUUGAUUUGGAGAGAAUAAGAUAAAGGACCUGACAUCAAUCCUUACUCUUGAAAGCAUGUUGUUACUUUCUAAAUAUUAUUGAAAUUAAAAAAAAAAAAUCUUCCCCCCAAAUCAGUAUAUUUGAAUUGCUAACAAGCCUCUCUGCCUUGUUUUUAUCUCAAAGAAUAAAAUGCUGAGCCCUGCGUGGGAUGCUAGAUGCUAGAGAACUCCCCCAUCUCUCUCUCUCUCUCUCUCUCUCUCUCUCUCUCUCUCUCUCUCUCUCUCUCUCAGUUCUGAACAAGGAGGGAAGGGGUAAAGAGUCCUUAGUGAGCGCCUUCUGCAGGGACAACCCUUCUGGACCCAUCUGGAUGGGAGCAGCCAGGAGAGGCAAGAAGCAGCUGUAUUUGGUGGCACUGCCACAGCGUCUCCUCAGCCCCAGCAAGUGGCCUUUGGUCUAGAGUUGGUCCAUCUGGCCCGCACAAGGCUCGAAUCCAGCCCUAGAGACGCUCCCCGCCUGCUCCAGGUGGCCGGCACCCUAGACGGGGCAGGAAGGGCAGGCGCCAAGCCUCAAGUCUCAAACACGGUGCGGGGCUGCGCGGCAAGGAGAAACCCAGGAGAUGCUCGGGGUCGGGGCCCAGGGCAGGGAAAACCCUCAGCUCUGGUCAAAAGCCAAGUGAGCGAAGGAGGCGAUGCAACGUCACCCUGGUGGCCAAGGCAGGCACCCAGGUCUCGAGGUUCCAGGAGAGGGACGCGCUGUGACCACCAGCCCCCUAGGCUCCUGUCUGCUCGAUGAGCGUCCACUCGCCAGUUCCAGCCGCGAGCGCCCCCAGCACUCCCGGAGCUGGGCCGGGCGCCGCCUUCCCUCGGGCGGCCGGCAGGGGUCAGUGUUUGGCCGCAGGUGAACAGACAGCGGCCGGGGCUGAAUCUGGUUCUUCUAGCUGGGUCUUGCCCCUGCCAAUCUGUCUGGACUUGUCCCCUGGCCGUUAACUGGGUUCUAGCCUAUCGAGACUCCUCAUAUUCUCCCCACCCCCGACCACUACCUCCAUACUGUCCUUCCUAAGUCACCAGGCCUGCACCCUUCCAGAAGCAUAGAUCCCUGGAUACAUGGAUAAUUACUUCCUGGCCUUAUACCAGACAGUGAUGCGAGACUGGAAAGAGGACAUGGCACGGAGUCAGAAGAUUUGAGUUCAAGUUCCUGCUCUGCCAAUUACCAGCUGUGUGAUCUUGGUCCAGCCGAGCUGCCAUCUCUUCAAGGAAGUUUUCCCUGAAGCCCUCAGGUAGACCCGUUUUUCCAUGGCGGCCACAUCAGCAUGCAGCACAUUUAAUUGGAAGUCUCCACAUAUGAGUUGGUUUUCCUUACUUAAAAUAUGCUUAUCAUCCCUUGGAGGUAUUGACUGCUGCCUCAUGAAGGCUGGUCCUGUCUCUAUAGUGAAUAUUGUGCACCUCAGGGUAGAAUGGAGAGCAGAAGACUUCAAAUCAGGCAGUCUGGGUUCAGACCCCAAUUCUAGUGCUAAAUAGCUACGUGACUUUAGGCCGAUUGUGUGUGACUUCCCUGAGCCCCAGUCUCUUUGCCUGCAAAAUGAGAAAAAUUAUAACAAUGUCAUCGGUUGUUCUGAGGAUUCUGAGAGGAAUUAGUAGGAGAGAGAACUAAGAAGCUGCGGGCCUCUACAGAGCCAUUCAACUGGCAUUUCGGAAGAUGUUGCCCAUCAGAGUCAGACCUUCUUAGCAUCUUCCGGCUGGGCCCAAACUUCCCAAGACCAUUUGGACAAGGUCAUCUCUAUCCCACCAUGGCCUCCUCCCAGAGGAGGAGAAGAAUCAUGCUGUUACAGCAGAACCGAAGAUUUGGGCAAGGGAGCUAAUGAUUAUGUUCUGCGUCAGGUCAGAGAUGGGCUGGGAAAGCCACUCCAAAGCCAAGACAAGCAGUUUCCUGGAAAAAGAAGGCUGCGCGGAGCCCAGAGUGGCCUGGAUCCUGCCUCAUUUCCUGGACCAGCUCCUUAGGUGGUUACUGGAUUGCCAAUAAAGCAGAGCUUAUUAAAGUCAACGAGCUCAGGCUUCAUCGCCGCCAUGGUAUCCAAGCACCAGUCUGUCUGGGAUUUCAUUUGCCAGAUGGACAAAGGAGAGGUUGUUCCAAUACAUAUCCUGAGUGGUGGGGGUGGGGAGAGAAGGGGAAGAAUGCUCUCUAGAGAAUUCUCUUUGUCCUCUGAAGUAAAUAGAGAUCAUGUCUUCCCCAGCCACACUCAGUGAUCUGAAUCUCUUGGACUGUGGAUUUUUCCUUUACCUGCUGUGAAGCCUUGAAAAGUAUGAAUUAGCUUGAUAAUGAUCCUCUAAAGAUGUUCAAGAGUUAAAGACGUGUUUAAGUUCUUCAGGCAAUCCAAUAUGACUACGGGUUUCCAAAAAUUUGAAGGAAACUGAAAAUCAUAGUUCCCAAACCAGAUAUUUUCCGGUGUCCAGAUGUUCACUGGCAUGCAAACCAAAUGUCUGGAUUAUGAGCUCCUUUUUUCAUUUCUUUUUAUCAGCUUACAUCCAGAUGUUGGAUCCAACUGGUCAGAGGCCUGGGGCAGAGACAGAAAUCAAAUCUAGGGUGUUCAUCUAGAGUCUCCUGCUCCUCCAUUCCUGCUUCCUCCUCACGCUGCCCCCACAUCCUCCCCAACUCACCUUCAUGCUACAUCUCGGCAAAUACAGCUCAUAUCCAGGCACGGUGCAGCCCUUGACAGCUGGGUCCGCAAAGGCAGAUCGGGUAUAUCUUUAAAGAAAAGUUAUCUUAACCAUUGAGAAGCCUUCCUUCCUCAGAGGAGAGCACCUCCCCAGCAGACCUCCGAGGAGACCAAGGGCAGGACAGGAAGGGUGAAAGGAAGUUUCAGGACUGCAGGAAAUAAGAGCUUGGAGGUCAAGGGAGAGAUCAGAUAAAACAUGAAUCUGAUCAGCAUCCUAGUGGUCUAGAGUGGAGACAAUCUGCGGAGUCAACCUCAGUAAGGACACACAUAGAGAAGAACCAAAGCCUCUAAAGACGAAGCUGAGAAGUGUACGGUCGUAGAAGACUCGUGUCUGUUAUUCUUAAAAGCUCAAGGAGAUGUUCUGCCAAUUGAAUGGAAACUGUCCAUAGUGGGGAGCAGAGAGCCUCAUCUUUUCUGGAACUGAACAUCCAUCCUUAAGGCCAGAUUUCUCCCAUCACCAACUUUAACUCCUGCCCUAGCCCUCUCUCUUCCUUUUCAAAACCCUCUCCACCCAGGAAGGGAGAUUCUGGAGCCAAGACUGUACCAGCCACACCUCCCCAGAGUUGUUAAGGAAGGAACUCGAAGCCAGGGGUGGUCUUCUGGCAAGCACCCCCACUACCAGUAGCAGGACAGAUGUGUUUCUAAUGGACUACACUAUCCCCGGAGGUCACAUGAUUCAGGCUGCCAAGGGUACCUGCCCUUGGGAAAUCAACUCCCGAAGAUAAAUUGGGAUUGGGUCCUGAGAAGAUCCAUGGAAGCCCAGAGGACCCUGCCUCUCUCUGUUGCUUCAUGCUGUAGAGGCAGUACUGGGGAGGGCCUGCCCCACAUCCGGCAGGGCAGCUGGAACCAUGUGUUUGAUGACACUCUGCUCCCUCAAUGUGGAGCCUCAUCCUCAUCUCACAGUCUAGCAGGCCUCUGGUGGGUUAGGCUUGUCUCACCCAGUGUGUGAGUUUUUUUGGAAGUGACCUGAUUUUGGAGUUUCCCUCCAAGCCUUUCUCAGGUACAUGCUUUCUCUUUUAUUCUGUCUUCUUUUUUUGAUCUUCUUAAAUCUGAUUUUCUCCUUUUUCCCUCUCUUGUCUCCAUCUUUUUUCCAGUCUCUCGCUUCUCUUUAUUUCUCCCCAUAUUUCACUCUGUUCUCUCACCCCAACCUUUCCCUUCUGUUUCUCUCCCUCCCUCUCUUCCCACCCCCUGCCUGGCCUUCCAUAUAUCAAGCAGAGUUUUAUCACCUUAUGCAGGGGCAGCCCUGCCACCUGCCAUAAAGUUGAUAGGCUAAUGACAUUUUGUGGAUAUUGCCAUGUCACAAGUCCAGGACAGCAUCAAAAAUAGCCCUGAUGUCUAAACCACUUCAGCUAUCUUUUUUAUUUUUAAAAUAAAUACAUUCACAUGCUUUUAAGAAACUAUAAAAAUAUAUAAAGUAAAAAGAUCUUUCUCUCACACUGUCUCCACCUCUCCUGGUCUCACCGUUGUGCUUAGGGGAAACCAUUGUGAUUAGUUUCUCCUGUGUCCUUCCAGAGUGUCUUUAUGCAAAUGAAAAUUAUUGUGAUAAUAUAUUCCUAUUUUCCCCCUUACUACACAAAAGAUAGACUACCAUAAUCCCAUUCUGCACUUUUUUUUCACUUGAUAAUAAAAACAUGAUUUUAUUAA
rnacentral:lncRNA from 1 species